UACAGAGGGGGCUAGCGUUCUUCGGAAUUAUUGGGCGUAAAGGGCGCGUAGGCGGCCAUGCGUGUCUUCCGUGAAAUCCCUCGGCUUAACUGAGGACGUGCGGAAGAAACUGCAAGGCUCGAGUCCGGGAGAGGGGGGUGGAAUUCCCAGUGUAGCGGUGAAAUGCGUAGAUAUUGGGAGGAACACCGGUGGCGAAGGCGGCCCCCUGGACCGGAACUGACGCUGAGGCGCGAAAGCGUGGGUAGCAAACGGG
rnacentral:rRNA from 1 species